rnacentral:rRNA from 1 species
GAUGGACGCUGGCGGCGUGCCUAACACAUGCAAGUCGAACGGAGUCCAGCCUUUAAGACCUUCGGGUCAAAGAGGGGAAGACUGAGUGGCGGACGGGUGAGUAACACGUGGGCAACCUGGCUCAUAGAGGGGGAUAACAGAGAGAAAUUUCUGCUAAUACCGCAUAAGCACACACUGCCGCAUGGCAGAGGGUGAAAAGAGAAUCGCUAUGAGAUGGACCCGCGUCUGAUUAGCCAGUUGGCAGGGUAAGAGCCUACCAAAGCGACGAUCAGUAGCCGAUCUGAGAGGAUGAACGGCCACAUUGGGACUGAGACACGGCCCAAACUCCUACGGGAGGCAGCAGUGGGGGAUAUUGCACAAUGGGGGGAACCCUGAUGCAGCGACGCCGCGUGAGUGAAGAAGUAUUUCGGUAUGUAAAGCUCUAUCAGCAGGGAAGAUAAUGACAGUACCUGAAUAAGAAGCCCCGGCUAACUACGUG